UACAGAGGGUGCAAGCGUUAAUCGGAAUUACUGGGCGUAAAGCGUGCGUAGACGGUUAUAUAAGUCGGAUGUGAAAGCCCCGGGCUCAACCUGGGAAUUGCAUUCGAGACUGAAUAGCUAGGGUACGGUAGAGGGAAGCGGAAUUUCCGGUGGUGAGCGGGUGUAAAUGACGCAGAUAUCAGGGAGGAACACCGGUGGCGAAGGCGGGUCUCUGGGCCGUAUGACUGACGCUGGAGGUGCGAAAGCGUGGGGAGCAAACAGG
rnacentral:rRNA from 1 species